rnacentral:tRNA from 3 species
CGGAGCGUAGCGCAGGCUGGUAGCGCAUCUGGUUUGGGACCAGAGGGUCGAAGGUUCGAAUCCUUUCGCUCCGACCA